GAGUAAUACGUGAGUAACCUGCCCUCCACUCUGGGAUAAGCGCUGGAAACGGCGUCUAAUACUGGAUACGACCGACCCUCGCAUGGGGUGUUGGUGGAAAGAUUUAUCGGUGGUGGAUGGACUCGCGGCCUAUCAGCUUGUUGGUGGGGUAAUGGCCUACCAAGGCGACGACGGGUAGCCGGCCUGAGAGGGCGACCGGCCACACUGGGACUGAGACACGGCCCAGACUCCUACGGGAGGCAGCAGUGGGGAAUAUUGCACAAUGGGCGAAAGCCUGAUGCAGCGACGCCGCGUGAGGGAUGACGGCCUUCGGGUUGUAAACCUCUUUCAGCAGGGAAGAAGCUUUUGUGACGGUACCUGCAGAAGAAGCACCGGCUAACUACGUGCCAGCAGCCGCGGUAAUACGUAGGGUGCGAGCGUUGUCCGGAAUUAUUGGGCGUAAAGAGCUUGUAGGCGGUUUGUCGCGU
rnacentral:rRNA from 1 species